AACGAACGCUGGCGGCAUGCCCAACACAUGCAAGUCGAACGAGACCUUCGGGUCUAGUGGCGCACGGGUGCGUAACGCGUGGGAACCUGCCCUUAGGUUCGGAAUAACUCCCCGAAAGGGGUGCUAAUACCGGAUAAUGUCUUCGGACCAAAGAUUUAUCGCCUUUGGAUGGGCCCGCGUUGGAUUAGCUAGUUGGUAGGGUAAAAGCCUACCAAGGCGACGAUCCAUAGCUGGUCUGAGAGGAUGAUCAGCCACACUGGGACUGAGACACGGCCCAGACUCAUCCGGGAGGCGGAGGGGGGAAUUAGUGAAAAAGGGCGGAAAGCUUGACCAACCAAGCCCGUGUGAGGGAUGAGGCCUUAGGGGUUGAAAAGUUUUUUUCCCGGGGUGGAUAAGGAAAGGCCCGGAAAAAAAACCCCCGCCAAACCCCGUG
rnacentral:rRNA from 1 species